ACAUAGCUCUCUGCUAAAGCUAAAUGCUGAAGUAUGGAGGGUGAGGCCUGCCCAAUGGUUGUAUCUAAAAGAGUUGGCUAAGGUCAACUUCAUAAGGACAAUUGAAUGGCCGCGGUAACACUGACCGUGAUAAUGUAGCGUAAUCAAUAGCCAAUUAAUUGUUGGCCGGUAUGAAUGGCGUCACGAAGGCCCCACUGUCUUAAGAGGACUCUCCAUGAAAUUGAAUUCGUAGUGAAGAUGCUACGUCCAUAUUGUAAGACGAAAAGACCCCAUUGAGCUUUACUAAAGACUUGCAUGGCUCAAAAUAAUUUGACUUAAAUAAAGAGUUUAGAUAAUGUGGGACCCGUUUCUGGUUAAUGAAACACCACUCUUUUAUUUUAAGAGAGCUAACAUUACAGGGAUAGUGUAAGUUGGAUAGUUUGGUUGGGGCGACCACCUUUUAAAAGGUAACGAAGGUGAGCUUAAGGUCCGUAGUUAAUAGCCGGUGGCCUGACUGCAAGGGGGACGUCUCGAGCAGACACGUCCUUAGGGAUGUGGACUAUAGUGACCCGUCAUCUUAGUGUGGAAUAGUUGACGAUCAACGAAUAAAAGCUACCAUGGGGAUAACAGCGUUAUAUCGUUAGAGAGUUUUCAUCGACGACGAUGUUUGCGACCUCGAUGUUGAAUUGCGGCACCCUGGGGUGCAGCCGCCCCCAAGGGUUGGUCUGUUCGUCCAUU
rnacentral:rRNA from 1 species